rnacentral:sRNA from 1 species
AAAACCACCAAACCAACCAGGCAAACAGAGAAUUCACUCCCACUACCCAAGAAAUUAUAAAUAAGACUAGAAAAUAUGUACAUCUAAUAGUAUGGAGCGCUAUGCAUACACCUAUAAUCUUAGCAUAUUUACUUGUGAAAAUGAUUAACUCCAUAUUCGGUUAUUUUCCUUUCCAAUACAUUUAAAGUUAUCUCUUUAAUUCAUGUCUUGACAUUUGAACAAUGGAAAACUCAAAGAAGUUUUUUUACCAUAUUGAACAUUGUUACAUGAUAAAUCCAUUUUUUAAAGAGCACUGAAAUUUAGAAAUAUAACAUUACAGCAUGAGCCCAGUGUGGUACUGUCUGUCUGUAACCCCAACACUAGGGGUGAGGCAGGAGAACAGCCUGCCUGUGUGUCCGCUUAUAUUAUUUGAAAGUAUCCUAAAAUCUAGCAGUUUAAAACCACUGACAUUUGACCAUGAAAUGUACACACUCCGAAGACAGGGAAUGUGAGCACUCAGGUGGGUUAAGUUAAGUGAGGUUAUAGUCAGGUGGGUAAGUUAAGUGAGGUUAUAGUCAGGUGGGUUAAGUUAAGUGAGGUUAUAGUCAGGUGGGUAAGUUAAGUGAGGUUAUAGUCAGGUGGGUUAAGUUAAGUGAGGUUAUAGUCAGGUGGGUAAGUUAAGUGAGGUUAUAGUCAGGUGGGUAAGUUAAGUGAGGUUAUAGUCAGGUGGGUAAGUUAAGUGAGGUUAUAGUCAGGUGGGUAAGUUAAGUGAGGUUAGAGUCAAGGUGCUCUCUGGGCUUCGCUCCUCUGAAGGGUUAACUAGAGCUUGAAGAUUCUUCCCCAAGUUCAAUUUUGUAAUUGUUAGAAGGCUCUGUACAUGGACCUCUCUAAAAGGCAAAUGUCAUCACAUGAGGAAACCCUAUCUCCCUCUUUACCCUCUGUGUAUAAACACACUCAUGUUUUUACAUACAUAUACACGUGUUUAUUUAUUACACUUGUAAACAUUCCUGGGCACACACACAAACACACACAUACACAUAUGCAUACAGGCACAUCUCUGGCAAGUUUCAGGAAUUGAAAAAAAAAAUGAACCAAGAAAACAUUCCAAUUGUUCUUCUCUCCUUAAUGAAGCUUCUGGAUAAAUCUAUAAGUCCUUCAGAUUCCCAAGUUCUGCCGGCUAAGAAGCCUCUCCUACUAAGAGGUAGCAUGAAUCGCUUUAGUUAAAGGGUAUUAUUUAUACUCAUUAAUGCAAGGAAGAAGGAACCUUGGUUCUCAGCAAUUCUUUGCAGCCUUUUCUUGGCUAGGAGAAAUUUAAUUCUCAUUAUUUCAAGAUAUAGAUGCUU